UACGUAGGUGGCAAGCGUUGUCCGGAUUUAUUGGGUUUAAAGGGUGCGUAGGCGGCUUUGUAAGUCAGUGGUGAAAUAUGGCAGCUUAACUGUCAAGGUGCCAUUGAUACUGCGGAGCUUGAGUACAGAUGAGGUAGGCGGAAUUGACGGUGUAGCGGUGAAAUGCUUAGAUAUCGUCAAGAACACCUAUAGCGAAGGCAGCUUACUAGGCUGUAACUGACGCUGAGGCACGAAGGUGUGGGGAUCAAACAGG
rnacentral:rRNA from 1 species